UGGGGAAUAUUGCACAAUGGGCGGAAGCCUGAUGCAGCGACGCCGCGUGAGGGAUGACGGCCUUCGGGUUGUAAACCUCUUUCAGCAGGGACGAAGCGCAAGUGACGGUACCUGCAGAAGAAGCGCCGGCCAACUACGUGCCAGCAGCCGCGGUAAGACGUAGGGCGCGAGCGUUGUCCGGAUUUAUUGGGCGUAAAGAGCUCGUAGGCGGCUUGUCGCGUCGACCGUGAAAACUUGGGGCUCAACCCCAAGCCUGCGGUCGAUACGGGCAGGCUCGAGUUCGGUAGGGGAGACUGGAAUUCCUGGUGUAGCGGUGAAAUGCGCAGAUAUCAGGAGGAACACCGAUGGCGAAGGCAGGUCUCUGGGCCGAUACUGACGCUGAGGAGCGAAAGCGUGGGGAGCGAACAG
rnacentral:rRNA from 1 species